GAUGAACGCUGGCGGCGUACCUAAUACAUGCAAGUCGAGCGAACAGACGAGGAGCUUGCUCCUCUGACGUUAGCGGCGGACGGGUGAGUAACACGUGGAUAACCUACCUAUAAGACUGGGAUAACUUCGGGAAACCGGAGCUAAUACCGGAUAAUAUAUUGAACCGCAUGGUUCAAUAGUGAAAGACGGUUUUGCUGUCACUUAUAGAUGGAUCCGCGCCGCAUUAGCUAGUUGGUAAGGUAACGGCUUACCAAGGCGACGAUGCGUAGCCGACCUGAGAGGGUGAUCGGCCAAACUGGAACUGAGACACGGUACAGACUCCUACGGGAGGCAGCAGUGGGGAAGCUUGCGGAAUGGGCGAAAACCUGACGGAGCAACGCCGAGUGAGUGAUGAAGGUCUUCGGAUCGUAAAACUCUGUUAUUAGGGAAGAACAAAUGUGUAAGUAACUAUGCACGUCUUGACGGUACCUAAUCAGAAAGCCACGGCUAACUACGUG
rnacentral:rRNA from 1 species